rnacentral:rRNA from 1 species
CCUACGGGUGGCAGCAGUGAGGAAUAUUGGUCAAUGGACGCAAGUCUGAACCAGCAAUGCCGCGUGCAUGAAGACGGCUCUAUGAGUUGUAAACUGCUUUUGUACGAGGGUAAACGCAGAUACGCGUAUCUGUCUGAUAGUAUCGUACGAAUAAAGAUCGGCUAACUCCGUGCCAGCCGCCGCGGUAAUACGGAGGAUUCAAGCGUUAUCCGGAUUUAUUGGGUUUAACGGGUGCGUAGGCGGUCUGAUAAGUUAGAGGUGAAAUCCCGAGGCUCAACUUCGGAAUUGCCUCUGAUACUGUUCGGCUAGAGAGUAGUUGCGGUAGGCGGAAUGUAUGGUGUAGCGGUGAAAUGCUUAGAGAUCAUACAGAACACCGAUUGCGAAGGCAGCUUACCAAGCUACUUCUGACGUUGAGGCACGAAAGCGUGGGGAGCAAACAGGAUUAGAUACCCUAGUAGUC